rnacentral:rRNA from 1 species
UCAAGUGAAUAAGUGCAUCAGGUGGAUGCCUUGGCGAUGAUAGGCGACGAAGGACGUGUAAGCCUGCGAAAAGCGUGGAGGAGCUGGCAAUAAAGCUAUGAUCCCGCGAUGUCCGAAUGGGGAAACCCACCUCUUAGGAGGUAUCCUUAUCUGAAUACAUAGGAUAAGCGAAGCGAACCCGGAGAACUGAACCAUCUAAGUACCCGGAGGAAAAGAAAUCAACCGAGAUUCCGCAAGUAGUGGCGAGGAGCCUGUACGUGAUAACUGUCGGGAUAGAAGAACAAGCUGGGAAGCUUGACCAUAGUGGGUGAUAGUCCCGUAUUCGAAAUCUCAACAGUGGUACUAAGCGUACGAAAAGUAGGGCGGGACACGUGAAAUCCUGUCUGAAUAUGGGGGGACCAUCCUCCAAGGCUAAAUACUCAUCAUCGACCGAUAGUGAACCAGUACCGUGAGGGAAAGGCGAAAAGAACCCCGGGAGGGGAGUGAAAUAGAACCUGAAACCUGAUGCAUACAAACAGUGGGAGCACCCUUGUGGUGUGACUGCGUACCUUUUGUAUAAUGGGUCAACGACUUACAUUCAGUAGCGAGCUUAACCGAAUAGGGGAGGCGUAGGGAAACCGAGUCUUAAUAGGGCGAACAGUUGCUGGGUGUAGACCCGAAACCGAGUGAUCUAUCCAUGGCCAGGUUGAAGGUGCCGUAACAGGUACUGGAGGACCGAACCCACGCAUGUUGCAAAAUGCGGGGAUGAGCUGUGGAUAGGGGUGAAAGGCUAAACAAACUCGGAGAUAGCUGGUUCUCCCCGAAAACUAUUUAGGUAGUGCCUCGAGCAAGACACUGAUGGGGGUAAAGCACUGUUAUGGCUAGGGGGUUAUUGCAACUUACCAACCCAUGGCAAACUAAGAAUACCAUCAAGUGGUUCCUCGGGAGACAGACAGCGGGUGCUAACGUCCGUUGUCAAGAGGGAAACAACCCAGACCGCCAGCUAAGGUCCCAAAUGAUAGAUUAAGUGGUAAACGAAGUGGGAAGGCCCAGACAGCCAGGAUGUUGGCUUAGAAGCAGCCAUCAUUUAAAGAAAGCGUAAUAGCUCACUGGUCGAGUCGUCCUGCGCGGAAGAUGUAACGGGGCUCAAAUCUAUAACCGAAGCUGCGGAUGCCAGUUUACUGGCAUGGUAGGGGAGCGUUCUGUAGGCCGAUGAAGGUGCAUUGUAAAGUGUACUGGAGGUAUCAGAAGUGCGAAUGUUGACAUGAGUAGCGAUAAAGCGGGUGAAAAGCCCGCUCGCCGAAAGCCCAAGGUUUCCUACGCAACGUUCAUCGGCGUAGGGUGAGUCGGCCCCUAAGGCGAGGCAGAAAUGCGUAGUCGAUGGGAAACAGGUUAAUAUUCCUGUACUUGAUUCAAAUGCGAUGUGGGGACGGAGAAGGUUAGGUUAGCAAGCUGUUGGAAUAGCUUGUUUAAGCCGGUAGGUGGAAGACUUAGGCAAAUCCGGGUCUUCUUAACACCGAGAAGUGAUGACGAGUGUCUACGGACAUGAAGUAACCAAUACCACGCUUCCAGGAAAAGCCACUAAGCUUCAGUUUGAAUUGAACCGUACCGCAAACCGACACAGGUGGGCAGGAUGAGAAUUCUAAGGCGCUUGAGAGAACUCGGGAGAAGGAACUCGGCAAAUUGAUACCGUAACUUCGGGAGAAGGUAUGCCCUCUAAGGUUAAGGACUUGCUCCGUAAGCCCUGGAGGGUCGCAGAGAAUAGGUGGCUGCGACUGUUUAUUAAAAACACAGCACUCUGCUAACACGAAAGUGGACGUAUAGGGUGUGACGCCUGCCCGGUGCUGGAAGGUUAAUUGAAGAUGUGCAAGCAUCGGAUCGAAGCCCCAGUAAACGGCGGCCGUAACUAUAACGGUCCUAAGGUAGCGAAAUUCCUUGUCGGGUAAGUUCCGACCCGCACGAAAGG